rnacentral:rRNA from 1 species
GAUGAACGCUGGCGGCGUGCUUAACACAUGCAAGUCGAGCGGGCAAUUUAUCUAGCACUGAUUACUUCAAAUGGAAAUCAUAAGUGUAAUCAUGAAUUUCUACCUUUAAUAAAGAAAAAGAAAUUCAUGUACGCAAAUAGUGAUAACACAUUUUAGUGGAGUGAUGAGUGCUGGAUAAAUUGCUAGCGGCGGACGGGUGCGUAACACGUGGGUAACCUGCCCCUAUCACUGGGAUAACACACUGAAAAGUGUGCUAAUACCAGAUAACAUAAGCUUUUGGCAUCAUUAGCUUAUCAAAGAAUUUCGGAUAGGGAUGGGCCCGCGUCUGAUUAGCUAGUUGGUGAGGUAACGGCUCACCAAGGCAACGAUCAGUAGCCGACCUGAGAGGGUGAUCGGCCACACUGGAACUGAGACACGGUCCAGACUCCUACGGAGGCAGCAGUGGGGAAUAUUGCACAAUGGCGAAAG